GACGAACGCUGGCGGCGUGCUUAACACAUGCAAGUCGAACGGAAAGGCCCUGCUUUUGUGGGGUGCUCGAGUGGCGAACGGGUGAGUAACACGUGAGUAACCUGCCCUUUACUUUGGGAUAACUUCAGGAAACUGGGUCUAAUACCGGAUAGGAGCUCCUGCUGCAUGGUGGGGGUUGGAAAGUUUCGGCGGUUGGGGAUGGACUCGCGGCUUAUCAGCUUGUUGGUGGGGUAGUGGCUUAACAAGGCUUUGACGGGUAGCCGGCCUGAGAGGGUGACCGGCCACAUUGGGACUGAGAUAAGGCACAGACUCCUACGGGAGGCAGCAGUGGGGAAUAUUGCACAAUGGGCGGAAGACUGAUGCAGCAACGCCGCGUGCGGGAUGACGGCCUUCGGGUUGUAAACCGCUUUCGCCUGUGACGAAGCGUGAGUGACGGUAAUGGGUAAAGAAGCACCGGCUAACUACGUG
rnacentral:rRNA from 1 species